GAUGAACGCUGGCGGCGUGCCUAAUACAUGCAAGUCGAGCGAACAGACGAGGAGCUUGCUCCUUUGACGUUAGCGGCGGACGGGUGAGUAACACGUGGAUAACCUACCUAUAAGACUGGGAUAACUUCGGGAAACCGGAGCUAAUACCGGAUAAUAUCUUGAACCGCAUGGUUCGAUAGUGAAAGAUGGCUUUGCUGUCACUUAUAGAUGGAUCUGCGCCGUAUUAGCUAGUUGGUAAGGUAACGGCUUACCAAGGCAACGAUUCGUAGCCGACCUGAGAGGGUGAUCGGCCACACGGGAACUGAGACACGGUCCAGACUCCUACGGGAGGCAGCAGUAGGGAAUCUUCCGCAAUGGGCGAAAGCCUGACGGAGCAACGCCGCGUGAGUGAUGAAGGUCUUCGGAUCGUAAAACUCUGUUAUUAGGGAAGAACAAAUGUGUAAGUAACUGUGCACGUCUUGACGGUACCUAAUCAGAAAGCCACGGCUAACUACGUG
rnacentral:rRNA from 1 species